AUUGAACGCUGGCGGCAGGCCUAACACAUGCAAGUCGAACGAGUGGCGGAAGGGUGCGUAAUGGCUGGGAACCUGCCUGCUGGCGGGGGAUAACUACUGGAAACGGUAGCUAAAACCGCAUACCAUCAGAUGUGCCAAGAUGGGAGUGGCUUGUUGGUGGGGUAACGGCUUACCAGGGCCACGCGCCCCAGCUGGUCUGAGAGGAUGACCAGCCACACUGGAACUGAGACACGGUCCAGACUCCUACGGGAGGCAGCAGUGGGGAAUAUUGCACAAUGGGCGAAAGCCUGAUGCAGCCAUGCCGCGUGUAUGAAGAAGGCCUUCGGGUUGUAAAGUACUUUCAGCGGGGAGGCGUUACCCGAAGAGGAAGCACCGGCUAACUCCGUGCCAGCAGCCGCGGUAAUUC
rnacentral:rRNA from 1 species